UAUUAAAAUUUUUAUUUAUUUUUACUGUUAAAAGCUGGUGUUUGGAUGAUAAAAAUAGCUAAAUAGUUACAUAUGGUGUGCUACAUCUAUCUUAUGCUAACAUACAUGGACCAAUUUUUAACAAUAAAAAAUAAAUAGAAUUGUUAUUA
rnacentral:pre_miRNA from 1 species